rnacentral:tRNA from 1 species
GCGGAUUUGGCGGAAUUGGCAGACGCACCAGAUUUAGGAUCUGGCGCUUUCGGGCGUGGGGGUUCAAGUCCCUUAAUCCGCA